GUGUGUGAACAAAUCUCUUUCUCUUUCCCUCUAUUUGAUCUCACAAAUAUGCUUCAUUCUAAGGAUUUUAUGUUAUCUGAGACUAGCAUGCAAAAACUUGGUUGUGUGACGAUGAAAAGGACGGAUUCUCGGUACAAUUCACCGUGCAAGUCAUCAUAUUUCAUUGGCUCAAAUGAUAACUUUGUGGGAGACAAGAUUGUAGCAGAGACAUUUUGUCAUCUGCAUCAUUCAAGAUAAUUGCUUUAUUCUAUGGUAUGCUUCGAAUACAUUACUUUUCAAAUUGUAAAAAAUAUAUUAUUAUAGUGUUUUUUCAAAUGAUUUGCAUCACAUUAGGUUAUGCAUGCGAACAGUUUUGCCUGUGCAUUUUCAUUUAUCUCGGUCUAGUUAAUUUUGUCAUUGUUUUUAUUACGGCAAACUGAAUUGAGAUAAAAUUAUGAUUGUUUGUGCAUAAUAGAGUAUGUAAUUAAAUAUUAAUAAUACAUAGCAAAUUGUUACACGUUACAGAAUUACAAUAAUUAUAAAAAUAACGUAUUGUAUUUAUUUUAUACGUGACAAUACAUACUUAUUGAAUACAGUAUCGACGCUACACAUAGCUUAAGUACCUAGCUAAAGCAAUACUUAUACAUUUAAAUGCGUUUGUCAUAUAAUUUUGUAAAUAUAUCUGUAAAUAUAAUAUUUAAACUAAUAUAUAAAGCAACUAGUAUUUAAGUUUAUCUAUGUGUAUAGAUAUAUAUAUAUAUAUAUAUAUAUAUAU